rnacentral:rRNA from 1 species
CAAGUUCGAUCCGAGCAUCAGUAGAUCCACGCAUGCUGACUUCGACUUGACACGCCCGCCUGAGUCAGUAGUAUCCGGUCGUAACGUCUGUGUUACGAAGAACCAUCCUAGUGACUAAGCUGCCCCCUUGACGAGCUAUCUAGAAAGCUACUGCUAGCUACGUCGCAGCAGCUGCGGUAAUACGUUAGUUGUCCAACGUAUCCGAAAGUAUUAGGGGUAAGCGCGCCCCAGUCGAUUUCUUAAGUUUUAUAGGGAAAGCCCACCGACUCCACCCAGUGCAGAGGUCAUUGGAACCUGGAGACCUGAGUGCAGAAGAGGAAAACGUGAAAUUCCAUAGGUAGCGUUGUAAUCCGUAGAGAAUUUGCAGGGACCCCAGUCCCGAAUGGCGACUUUCUUGUUCCGUUAACUGACACUGAGGCGCGAAAAGCGUGGGGAGCCAACCAGAUUAGAUUUCCUGGUUGUCUACGCCCUUAACGAUGAGUGCUAAGUAUUUGAAGGUUUUCCCUCCUUUAGUGAAGAAGUUAACGCCCUAAACACUCCCCCCGGGGAAGACGGCCGCAAAGGCGAAACUCAAAAGAAAUGACCGGGGCCCGCACCAGCGGUGGGACAUGUGGUUUAAUUUGAAGCAACGCGGAGAACCUUAGCAGGUCUUGACAACCUUUGAAAACCCUUGAGAUUAGGCUUCUUCUUUGGGAGCAGAGUUACAGGUGGUGCAUGGUUGUCGUCAACUCCUGUCGUGAGAUGUUGGGUUAAGUUCCGCAACCAGGGCAACCCUUGAUUUUAGUUGCCAUCAUUUAGUUGGGCACUUUAAGGUGACCGCCGGUGACAAACCGGAGGAAGGUGGGGAUGACCUCAAAUCAUCAUGCCCCUUAUGACCUGGGCUACACACGUGCUACAAUGGGCGGUACAAAGAGCUGCAAGGCCGCGAGGUGGAGCUAAUUUCAUAAAACCGUUCUCAAUUCCGAUUGUAGGCUGCAACUCGCCUACAUGAAACUGGAAUCCGUUGUAAUCGCGGAUCAGCCUGCCGCGGUGAAAACGUUUCCGGGCCUUGUACACCCCCCCCCUCCCCCCCCGAGAGUUUGUAACCCCCGAAGUCGGUGGGGUAACCUUUUGGAGCCAGCCGCCUAAGUGACCAAGUUG